GGGGGUAUAGUUCAGUGGCAGAACUCAUGCUUAGCAUGCAUGAGGCUCUGGGCUCUAUCCUUCGCACACCCA
rnacentral:tRNA from 1 species